CGGACGGGUGAGUAACACGUGGGUAACCUGCCCAUAAGACUGGGAUAACUCCGGGAAACCGGGGCUAAUACCGGAUAACAUUUNGAACCGCAUGGUUCGAAAUUGAAAGGCGGCUUCGGCUGUCACUUAUGGAUGGACCCGCGUCGCAUUAGCGUAGUUGGUGAGGUAACGGCUCACCAAGGCAACGAUGCGUAGCCGACCUGAGAGGGUGAACGGCCACACUGGGACUGAGACACGGCCCAGACUCCUACGGGAGGCAGCAGUNGGGGAAUCUUCCGCAAUGGACGAAAGUCUGACGGAGCAACGCCGCGUGGAGUGAUGAAGGCU
rnacentral:rRNA from 1 species